rnacentral:rRNA from 1 species
UACGAAGGGUGCAAACGUUGCUCGGAAUCAUUGGGCGUAAAGCGCACGUAGGCGGCUUCGCAAGUCGGAUGUGAAAUCUCGUGGCUCAACCAUGGACGUGCAUCCGAAACUGUGAGGCUUGAGUAUGGAAGAGGGUCGCGGAAUUCCCGGUGUAGAGGUGAAAUUCGUAGAUAUCGGGAGGAACACCAGUGGCGAAGGCGGCGACCUGGGCCAAUACUGACGCUGAGGUGCGAAAGCGUGGGGAGCAAACAGG